GGUGGUAAUGCCGGAUGCUCCGACUCCUCGCAUGGGGUGUCGGGAAAGAUUUCAUCGGUAUGGGAUGGGGUCGCGUCCUAUCAGGUAGUCGGCGGGGUAACGGCCCACCGAGCCUACGACGGGUAGCCGGCCUGAGAGGGCGACCGGCCACAUUGGGACUGAGAUACGGCCCAGACUCCUACGGGAGGCAGCAGUGGGGAAUAUUGCACAAUGGGCGCAAGCCUGAUGCAGCGACGCCGCGUGCGGGAUGACGGCCUUCGGGUUGUAAACCGCUUUUGAUCGGGAGCAAGCCUUCGGGUGAGUGUACCUUUCGAAUAAGCACCGGCUAACUACGUGCCAGCAGCCGCGGUAAUACGUAGGGUGCAAGCGUUAUCCGGAAUUAUUGGGCGUAAAGGGCUCGUAGGCGGUUCGUCGCGUCCGGUGUGAAAGUCCAUCGCUUAACGGUGGAUCUGCGCCGGGUACGGGCGGGCUGGAGUGCGGUAGGGGAGACUGGAAUUCCCGGUGUAACGGUGGAAUGUGUAGAUAUCGGGAAAGAAC
rnacentral:rRNA from 1 species